rnacentral:rRNA from 1 species
UACGGGGGGGGCAAGCGUUGUUCGGAAUUACUGGGCGUAAAGGGCUCGUAGGUGGCCAACUAAGUCGGACGUGAAAUCCCUCGGCUUAACCGGGGAACUGCGUCUGAUACUGGAUGGCUUGAGUUCGGGAGAGGGAUGCGGAAUUCCAGGUGUAGCGGUGAAAUGCGUAGAUAUCUGGAGGAACACCGGUGGCGAAGGCGGCAUCCUGGACCGGCAUUGACGCUGAGGCGCGAAAGCCAGGGGAGCAAAGCGGG